ACCUUAGAGACCAAUUAAGCAUGUUCUGGGUAUAAGCUUUUGUGUGCAUGCACACGAAAGCUUAUACCCAGAACAUAUUUAGUUGGUCUCUAAAUU